GGGCGGCUUACCUGCAAGUCGAGCGGUAGCACAGGGGAGCUUGCUCCCUGGGUGACGAGCGGGGGACGGGUGAGUAAUGUCUGGGAAACUGCCUGAUGGAGGGGGAUAACUACUGGAAACGGUAGCUAAUACCGCAUAACGUCACAAGACCAAAGAGGGGGACCUUCGGGCCUCUUGCCAUCAGAUGUGCCCAGAUGGGAUUAGCUAGUAGGUGGGGUAAUGGCUCACCUAGGCGACGAUCCCUACCUGGUCUGAGAGGAUGACCAGCCACACUGGAACUGAGACACGGUCCAUACUCCUACGGGAGGCAGCAGUGGGGAAUAUUGGACAAUGGGCGCAAGCCUGAUGCACCCAUGCCGCGUGUGUGAAGAACGCCUUCGGGUUGUAAAGCACUUUCAACGAGGAGGAAGGUGGUGAACUUAAUACGUUCAUCAAUUGACGUUACUCGCAGAACAAGCACCGGCUAACUCCGUGCCAGCAGCCGCGGUAAUACGGAGGGUGCAAGCGUUAAUCGGAAUUACUGGGCGUAAAGCGCACGCAGGCGGUUUGUUAAGUCAGAUGUGAAAUCCCCGGGCUCAACCUGGGAACUGCAUUUGAAACUGGCAAGCUAGAGUCUCGUAGAGGGGGGUAGAAUUCCAGGUGUAGCGGUGAAAUGCGUAGAGAUCUGGAGGAAUACCGGUGGCGAACGCGGCCCCCUGGACUAACACUGACGCUCAGUGCGAAAGCGUGGGGAGCAACAGGAUUAGAUACCCUGGUAGUCCACGCUGUAACGAUGUCGAUUUGGAGUUGUGCCCUUGAGCGUGGCUUCUGAGCUAACGCGUUAAUCACGGCAGGGGAGUACGCGCAAGCUAAACUCAAAUGAUUGACGCGGCCGCCCAGCCGCUGA
rnacentral:rRNA from 2 species